GACAUCUCGUAAACACAGCAGCCUUUUACUAGUAUUAAUAGUAUUAAGAAGACGUCCUGGUGGCAGAAGUGGACCUUAAAAUCCCUCAGAGGCAGGCCGACUGCCAAGAAGAUAUUCCAUAGGCAGAUCUGGAUCAAGUACUCUUCUUGAGGCUUGCCGACUGCCAAAAAGCCAUCUCGUAGACACAUCAGCCUUUUACUACUAAAAGAUAAUGACAUAUGAACCCUUUUGUCUGUAUUUGCGCGCUGCUCACCUCCCUCAGCCGUCUCGCCAAAUGGAUGCAAGGUAUUCUUUGGAAUACGCAGGAGGGCGCAGACAUGGAACUGUCCCAUGACAGGAAGACAAAGCCUCGAUCCAGGCUGAACAUGGGACCUGUUAACCUUCAAUAACAACUUACCGUUCAAUGGAACAGUUUUCUUCUUCGGAACUCGGAUGGUGUCUUUACGUAUAAUACACCUGUGGAAUUUGUUUGGCUGCAGAGCCGUUAUAAAACUCAAGCAUGAAUUUUCAUAGGCUGGAUUAUGUGUAUGCGUAAUUGUUGAUAUAUUUUAUGACAAUGCAUUAUGCGUGUCUGCUACUGUAAACCCUCCAGUAGAUUAGGUAGUGCUGCAUACGUUGAGGGAACACGGUUCCAGAGCUUUCACGGUUCCAGAGCUUUUACUCUAAAAGAAGUUUUAUCUCUGGUUUUACGUGUCGGGCUUCAUCUACCUUCGGCCGUUUUCAAAUGUACAUCUAAAAUAUAUAUAUAUAUAUAUAUAUAUUAUAUGAUAACCUACGUGAUGCCGGUGUUUUUGUUUUGCAAUGUGUGUUGUUUAUGUUCGUGCAAAUAGAGAUACUGGUAUUGUAUCAUGUUGGGUAUGGUGACAAUAAACCGCACAGCUGGUCCAAUUG